UACGUAGGGUGCGAGCGUUAAUCGGAAUUACUGGGCGUAAAGCGUGCGCAGGCGGUUUUGUAAGCCAGAUGUGAAAUCCCCGGGCUUAACCUGGGAAUGGCAUUUGGGACUGCAAGGCUGGAGUGUGGCAGAGGAGACUGGAAUUCCUGGUGUAGCAGUGAAAUGCGUAGAGAUGUGGAGGAAUACCGAUGGCGAAGGCAGCCCCCUGGGAUAACACUGACGCUCAUGCACGAAAGCGUGGGGAGCAAACAGG
rnacentral:rRNA from 1 species